rnacentral:tRNA from 1 species
UUAAUUGAAACCAAAAAAGAGGUAAAUUAUUGUUAAUAAUUUCAAUGUAAUUAAUUACCAAUUAAU